rnacentral:guide_RNA from 1 species
AAUAAACGAUCGAAUAUAUCAUCUAUAAAGUGAGAAUGAUAAUUU